AAAAUGGCAGAAUGUGGGAAUAUUGAAGAGGACUAGAGAGUAGGAAAGACAUGAACCAUCACUCCAAAAUAAGAGGGACAUGUAAAGAAAAAGACAAUUACACUUGAAAAAAAUUACAGAGUUCGAUUGUGUGGUAUCUUCUU
rfam:Pteropus vampyrus cont1.150306, whole genome shotgun sequence.